rnacentral:rRNA from 1 species
AACGAACGCUGGCGGCAUGCCUAACACAUGCAAGUCGAACGAAGCCUUCGGGCUUAGUGGCGCACGGGUGCGUAACGCGUGGGAAUCUGCCCUUUGGUUCGGAAUAACAGUUGGAAACGACUGCUAAUACCGGAUGAUGACGAAAGUCCAAAGAUUUAUCGCCAGAGGAUGAGCCCGCGUAGGAUUAGCUAGUUGGUGUGGUAAAGGCGCACCAAGGCGACGAUCCUUAGCUGGUCUGAGAGGAUGAUCAGCCGGACUGGGACUGAGACACGGCCCAGACUCCUACGGGAGGCAGCAGUGGGGAAUAUUGGACAAUGGGCGAAAGCCUGAUCCAGCAAUGCCGCGUGAGUGAUGAAGGCCCUAGGGUUGUAAGGCUCUUUUACCCGGGAUGAUAAUGACAGUACCGGGAGAAUAAGCCCCGGCUAACUCCGUGCCAGCAGCCGCAGUAA